rnacentral:rRNA from 1 species
UACAUGGGGUGCAAACGUUGCUCGGAAUUACUGGGCGUAAAGCGUGCGCAGGCGGUUCGUCGUGUCCGAUGUGAAAGCCCCGGGCUCAACCUGGGAAUGGCAUUGGAAACUGGCGGACUCGAGUGUGGCAGAGGGGGGUGGAAUUCCGCGUGUAGCAGUGAAAUGCGUAGAGAUGCGGAGGAACACCGAUGGCGAAGGCAGCCCCCUGGGCUAACACUGACGCUCAGGCACGAAAGCGUGGGGAGCAAACAGG